rnacentral:snRNA from 1 species
UGAUGAGAGGGCAAUCUGGCUGCGAGAUCUGUCAUCCCAUUGAUCGCCAGGGUUGAUUUGGCUGAUCUGGCUGGCUAGGCGGGUGCCCCCUUCCUCCCUCACCGCUCCAUGUGCAUCCCUCCCGAAGUUGCAUUGUACUCUUUAAAUGGAUGAUUUGCAUUGUUUGUGAAUUAUAUCUCAACAAAGCUGUUAAAAAAUCUAUUACCAUUCAAAAAGGAUAAAAAUACUAGGGAAUAUGUUUAACCAAAGAAAUGAAAGACUCAUACACUGGAAAAUACAAAACAUUCUUGAAAGAAAUUU